CUCGUUACAAUAGGAAAGAAACAAGAGAAAUCAUACAUGUUAAUAAAAAAUGUGCUCAUUACUGAACAAAAAUAAAAAUAAAAAUAAAAAAUAUGCAUGCAUGAUUUUGCCCCUUUUUUCCCAUAUCUGAUUUGGAAGUUCUUCUUUUCUCAUAUCUGCUUUGACUGGUUUUGCGGUAUUUUGAUUGGUUUUGCAGUGGUCUGAUGGGUGAUUGGAAGCCUCGGGGGAGAGUUCAAGGGACAUUGCACCUUUGUCUUUGAAGGUAUUAUUGGUUGGGGACUUUUAGAGUUCAAAAUUUUUGGUAUUUAUCUUUGAAUAGUAAAGGAGAGGAAGGGAUAACCGUCGGAAUUUGCUUGCCAGUCCCAGGCUCCAGCAAUGGAAAUAUUCGUCAACGUGUUGGAUUUUUUUCUGGAAUGCCGGAGAGUGGCAAGAAAUCCACUUUCAAUGCGUCUAAACUGUGAAACUCAUGAUCAACGUACGUCCUUUGGAAGGCAAGUCGUUCGAAUAAAGAAACUUGAAUGGGAAUCUUUUUCCAUUGAUCUCCUGCCUCAUCCUGAUGUUCAUGGAUGCCAAUUUAGCCUGCUCCCGAGGGGGAGGAAAGGAAACCAGAGAGUCGAUGAUGGCGCAAAACGAGUUUUGUUUGGGCGGAGAGCGCUUUAUAGAAGGAAUAUUUGGACAAGGUUAUGUACUACAAAUCUGACUUUUUAAUUAUAUAUAUAUAUAUAUAUACACAUACUAGGCGCAACUCCGGGCUGUAUGGAUACAUAUAUUAUAAUGGUAAUAGAGAAUAUCUGACUCUACACCA